CUUGUAAAAGUUACCAGCACGUAAUGGUGGGCACUCUAAGGAGACUGCCGGUGACAAACCGGAGACAGGUGGGGAUGACGUCAAGUCAUCAUGGCCCUUCCUGAUGGGCUACACACGUGCUACAAUGGUCGGUACAGAGGGUUGCCAAGCCGCGAGGUGGAGCUAAUCCCAUAAAACCGAUCGUAAUC
rnacentral:rRNA from 1 species